UCCGUUCAGGCGAUUGGAAAUCGUGGUCGCCAAUGGGGAUGGCGGGGCAGCAAGUUGGCGGCGCAACGCUCGGGAUCAUUGGAAUGGGGC
rnacentral:tRNA from 1 species